AGCUCAUCUCAAUUUCUCCAUUACAUGGAUCCUAUAAAUUCUGAUGAUCACUCCAUUGCCUCAUGGGAGUGAUGGAAGAAUGUCAGAGUAGAAAGAGAUGAAGCAGCUAUAGUCAAAAGAGUUAAUUUUUCAACUGUUAUCAAAUAAAUAACCAAUUAAAUACAUUAGGAGAGCCUCCCCAGGAUCCAAGGAAGAGCUAUUGGAAGUGAAAAGUGUUGUGUCUUGUACUUCAUUAGCUUCCUAUUGAACCCAUCUGUGCACCCAUACAAUCUCAUUUCUUCCAAUGGAAAGAAGAAACACUUCAUUGAUUAAACUUGUAAGACAUGCUUCAAGAGAGACUCCUGUUAUUAAGAAUUCUAUCUUUUAAUUAAUGGUAACAUGAGGAUUACUGGUUGUUAUUGCAAGCCAUUCUUUUACCAAUUCCCCUUAGUUGCUAAAAGAAAAUGACUUUUAACUGACAUUUUUGUCUGCUUAAAGCUUUUACAAAGGAGAUAAGGGAGGUGCAUCUGUCAGUCUGCAUCUGUCACCUCCUCCUCACCUCCAGAUUGUUUUAUUGGAUCUGAAACCAUCGCCACAUGAAGCAGGUUGAAAACACUUGCAGCAUGGAUCAUGAAAUGAUGUUCAUGCUGAAAAAUAUGCAAUCUUAAAGGACAUUUUACAUUUCUGAGAACAUCCCAGUGAUUAACACUAAAGGAAGAAAAGCUUUAUGCAAGGCUAAAGACACAGCUGCAGGGUAAGACAUGUUACUAGAGCUCUCAUGCAAAUCAUCCAUGGACCUUUAUUACUUUGUUCCUCACAUGUUACAUGGCAUUCUUCUUCUACAGACCUCCAAGAUUUCUAGGAGCUGGCAUAGUAGCAUUGCAGACUAAGCCACUGCCUGCAAUGCCGACAUCCCUUACGGGCAACAGUUGGUGUCUUGGCUGCUCCACU
rnacentral:lncRNA from 1 species